rnacentral:misc_RNA from 1 species
AGGCCCAUCCUCCUCCUUUGUUGUAAUUAUUUAUUAAUUCAGCAAUAAAUGUAUCAAUCAAUCAAUCAAUCAGGUGUGAGUUACGUGAUGGCACGCACAGGAACUCGUCCUUACACGCAUAAAACACAAUUCACUUGCUUCUUCACUCGUCCUUUGCACGUUUUAAGGAAAAAGUUUGUUUUAAAAUUUGUGGAGGUGCCACGCCUGUUAGCGACUCGCUCCUGACACUGGUAGGGGUGGUGGUGGUGGUGGUGUUGGUGUACGGUAAUUUAAGCCAGCAACGUUUUGUCCCCGGUUAUUUAUCACCGAGAAUGGUCACACGGUGGAAAGCUCUGAGUGAACUAUAGUUUCGGUGUAUGUUAUAAACGGCGCGAGAACCGAGUCGAAUCCUCUUGAUUUUUGUGUAUCCCCGAUCCAAAGGCUACACUAAGAGUGCUCAUCAGUUCUGAUUUCAAAAGUAAACAUACAAUAUCAACACUCAGAAGGAGAGAGUUCUGUGCAGAAGUCCAACCAGCUUCACCGCAUCUAGCCUGCCUAUCGCACCUUUGGGACCAUGGAUCCUGACGUUGUAGCAUAUGUGAUGCUGGACUAUUUGAACAGGAAGCAGCAGGAGAAGAGGAGGAGGCGUGUAUGGAGCCGUGAUUGGUUGAAGAAAAGGAGAGAAGAGAGUGUAGCCUUCAGACUUGUGAGGGAGCUUGAGGCUGAAGACCCAGACACACUAAAAGACAGUGGACACGUCUUGACCAACACCAAUUUCAGGAACUGUUAGCCCAGCUUAGUCACCCCACUUAUAAAGAAGGAAGAUACCAAUAUGCGACAGGCAUUUACUCCUUAUGAACGCCUCCUUCUGACUCUACGUCAUCUAGCAACUCGUAUGUAUGUAAGGUUUGGCGGGGGGGAGACGAGAACGAAGCAAGGUCAGUAGCUCAGAUGGCAGUGAGAGCAGUAUUACUUCAGACACCACGCCCGCUACAUCUCUUCAGUCUCCGCACCACCACCGAGCCCUCCAGUCUAUGCAGCCCAGUGGCCGUGUGUGUCUUGGCGUCGGGCGUGACGUACUGCAACGGCGGUAAUAGCAACGGGAAGCUUGAUCCGUGUGACGGAGGUCUUUCGUGCGACGGGGUGACGUGUCGCUGCUGUGAGAUUAGUGGACCACCCCACCCCACCCCACCCCACCGCACAACACAGCACAGCACAGCACAGCACAGCGGAGAGGUUCAGGCGUGUAAAUGGCAAGAGUAGAUGAAAGAAAAAAGGAGGACGAAGAAGAAGAAAGGAAAAAUAGGAAAAAUUAAAGUGGAAGAGGAGGAAGAGCCAAAACACAAUAUUCAGGAGCCACCAUUGAGACAGGGAAUCCAGCGCCAGUGUAGGAAGCGGAACACAGCUGGCCGGACUCCAGGAAGCUCAGAGCCGGAGGGAGGCAGAUGAGCUGGAGAAGAAUCUGGCGGAUGACUCUGGUCUGCUGAAGGAGCUGCUGGACCAUUUGUCUGAGGCAGAGAAGGACAACCUGCUGCUGCUUCAGUACUCUGCAGAGGAUACUUCAAAGAUCAAGAGUUACAAAGGCCAUGACUGCAGUGAUCCCGUGUGUCCUGCACCAUCAGGGAAGGACUCCGGCUUCGCACGGCGCAUUCACUGACCCUCUCCUCUCCCCAUCACCCUACCAACUCCGGCGACCCACCCCCCCUGCCACCUGCUACACCACUACCACUACCGCCGGCUCCUUCCAGUGAAAGAUUCCUCGCAGACUUCCUGCCAUUCAACGCCUGCUGUCACCACCACCGCCACCACCACCUCCUUAUGGUGGUGUCACUGUACCUGGAAUUGUCAUGAUUGAAUAAUAAAUUGUGAAGAAAUC